rnacentral:rRNA from 1 species
GACAGAGGGUGCAAACGUUGUUCGGAAUUACUGGGCGUAAAGCGUGUGUAGGCGGCCGCGUAAGUCGGAUGUGAAAGCCCUGGGCUCAACCCAGGAAGUGCACUCGAUACUGCGUGGCUCGAGUACUGGAGAGGUUGGUGGAAUUCUCGGUGUAGAGGUGAAAUUCGUAGAUAUCGGGAGGAACACCAGUGGCGAAGGCGACUUCCUGGCCUGUUCUUGACGCUGAGGCGCGAAAGCUAGGGUAGCAAACGGG